AGGCCCGUUGCAUAAUGGUAGUGCCUCACUCUUAUACAGUGAUGGUGAGGGUUCAAUUCCUUCCGGGCCUACCA
rnacentral:tRNA from 1 species